UACGUAGGUGACCAGCGUUGUCCGGAUUUACUGGGCGUAAAGAGCGCGCAGGCGGUCGUUCAAGUCGAGUGUGAAAGCCCCCGGCUCAACUGGGGAGGGUCAUUCGAUACUGAUCGACUGGAAGGCAGGAGAGGGAAGCGGAAUUCCCGGUGUAGUGGUGAAAUUCGUAGAUAUUCGGAAGAACACCAGUGGCGAAGGCGGCUCACUGGCCCGGUUCUGACGCUGAGGUGCGAAAGCGUGGGGAGCAAACAGG
rnacentral:rRNA from 1 species